rnacentral:rRNA from 1 species
CCUCCUCUCUUCUCCCGAUUCACCCCUCGUCUCCCUCCCAUCCCACGCUGCCGCCGCCGCCUCCGCCGCUCACCACCCCGGCGACCUCCCCACGGGCGAUCCCCAGCCUCUCCCUCUCCUUCUCCCCUGCAUCCGUCGCCCGCACCUUCCCUCCCAGUCCCAGAUCAACCCGCGGGUGAGCCGGCGGCCAGGACACACGCGAAGCGACGGAGGUCGCCUGCGUCUCCCCAGUCGCCCUGCCACUGCUUCCUUGCUUUUCUCUGCGGUAGGAGAAGAAAACCUUGUCGGGGUGCCCAAGCCAUGGAGCACCAUCGUCAAGUGCAGGAGAAGAAAACCCUAGACCGACCCGAGGAUUCGUCCGACAACCACCUGAGGAGGAAGCAAGCCAUGGACGGACCUCCCUUUCCUUGAAUGCUGCGCCCUCCCACCCAUCUUCCUGCAGCUGCAGGUUUUUUGUUUUCGUCACUCCUUUGUUAUAUGGAAGAAGACUUCAUGGUCUACUAGAGUAUCCACUUCUGAAGAUAUUGAAUUGAUUCAUCACUCCAUGUUUUUCUGGGUCGUUUAGUUAUCACCCUGUUGCCACAAAACCAUGGCAUUCUAGAAAAUGUAAGUAUAGUAGGUUGCUCACAAGGAGAUGAGAGAAUUCAAGUGUCACUUUUAGAGAUGUAUUAUGAGAUUGAUCCACUGCAUCAUUUCGUCAUACAAAUUUGUUUGUUCUUAUAUGUGCCUUCGGACUAGCUAUUUCCAUAUUUUGUUUUAGGAAUUUAUUAGGAGUUCUGUAAUUUGGAGUUCUCCUAACUUUGAACACUGCAUUGGAGUUCUGUAAUUUGGAGUUCUCCUAACUUUCGUCAUACAAAUCUUUUAUGCACUUUCUUGUUGAGUGCCUUUAUUUUAAACUAUGAGAUAUGCCUAUGUUUAAUUCGGAAAUCUAAAUGCAAUCUUAUGUUGUUCCACCGAGGUUGAUUUUCAAAAUGUGUAUAUCUAAUAUUUCUUGCUGCAGCUUUAAGCUUCACUGUCAUCUAACUUUGUCUAGUUAAUUUUUGUUAUCUGUCUUUGAACCUAUAAAAUGGGUGAUAUGUACACUUGUCAUUAACUACAUGUGUUUCCUGAACAUGUCUAAAGUUUUUAUAAGAAAUGCAGUUCUGAGCUCGGGCAAUCGUAGGAUGACUAGACACAUACUACAUAUGAUUUGAGAUGUAUAUGUAUGCAGUUUCACCCUCUGCUAAAAAAUGUCCUAUACAAUGUAGACUUUGUGAAGCCACAUGAGCUAGGGGUUGCACCGCAGGAGCAUAGCGUGUACAAGUACUAAACAUUGAAGAUUGCAUUGCAGCUCAUCAGUAUGCCUUCCUUGCAAUCUUUGAAGCCAAUUAAAUUCGGAAGUGUUAUUUUUUCUGUACAAGUUUGUAUGUGUCAAGUACUUGCUAAUUGAUGUUUUGAGGGGUGCUCAUAUACUUACUCGGCAACAUGGAAAGUUUUCACAUUUGUUCUAGCUGUCUCUAUGGGUUAGCGACUUAGCAUACAUGUUGUAAUAAGGUUUCACAUUUGCUUCUCUGACAAAUAAGGUCUUUUUAUUCAUAGGUAGAAGAUAGCGACAGAGUGCUGCAGGAUAAUGAGAUGUUGAAGCGGUAGACUAAAUCCAUGACACCGAAGUGCAAUUGUGGCAGAUUAUCUCUAUCUUUUCUUUUCAUUUUUCUUAUUAUUGAGUGAGAACAGAAUGAGGAACUGUGUGAUAGUACAUACAACAACUGUAGUAAAAAGAAACUUAUGUUUGCAAUUGUUAAUGACAUAGAUACUUGCAUGUUCUUUGAAGUGGUUAUUUGUGAGUAGCAAUGCAUAAUGAGG